CAGCCUCAUAGAAUGAGUUGGGAAGGAAGUAUUCCUUUCUAUUCAGUUUCUUUAGAAGAGCUUUUCUAGAAUGAAUGAAAAUCUCAUUCAUUGGAAUGAAAAUUGGCACGCACCCACAAAGAAUUCAGAGAAGAGUCAAGUUGCCUUUGAAGAUAGGAGCACAAUGCUGGUGAUGAAGAGGAGACCUGAGCUAAGUACAGAAAAUAGACACUCUAAAUAAAUCCAGAUUGUUCCAGACUGCAUC